rnacentral:rRNA from 1 species
UAACGCGUUAAGUAGACCGCCUGGGGAGUACGGUCGCAAGAUUAAAACUCAAAUGAAUUGACGGGGGCUCGCACAAGCGGUGGAGCAUGUGGUUUAAUUCGAUGCAACGCGAAGAACCUUACCUACUCUUGACAUCCAGAGAAUUCGCUAGAGAUAGCUUAGUGCCUUCGGGAACUCUGAGACAGGUGCUGCAUGGCUGUCGUCAGCUCGUGUUGUGAAAUGUUGGGUUAAGUCCCGCAACGAGCGCAACCCUUAUCCUUGUUUGCCAGCACGUAAUGGUGGGAACUCCAGGGAGACUGCCGGUGAUAAACCGGAGGAAGGUGGGGACGACGUCAAGUCAUCAUGGCCCUUACGAGUAGGGCUACACACGUGCUACAAUGGCGUAUACAGAGGGCUGCAAGCUAGCGAUAGUGAGCGAAUCCCACAAAGUACGUCGUAGUCCGGAUUGGAGUCUGCAACUCGACUCCAUGAAGUCGGAAUCGCUAGUAAUCGUGAAUCAGAAUGUCACGGUGAAUACGUUCCCGGGCCUUGUACACACCGCCCGUCACACCAUGGGAGUGGGCUGCACCAGAAGUAGAUAGCUUAACCUUCGGGAGGGCGUUACCUACAUUCACACG